CCUACGGGUGGCAGCAGUGGGGAAUAUUGCACAAUGGGGGAAACCCUGAUGCAGCGACGCCGCGUGAGUGAAGAAGUCUUUCGGUAUGUAACGCUCUAUCAGCAGGGAAGAAAAUGACGGUACCUGAUUAAGAAGCCCCGGCUAACACCGUGCAAGCAGCCGCGGGAAUACGUAGGGGGCAAGCGUUCUCCGGAUUGACUGGGUGUAACGGGAGCGGAGACGGCAGCACUAGGCUGGAGUGCAAUGCCGGGGCUUAACCCCGGAACUGCUUUGGAAACUGGGCGGCUACAGUGCAGGAGAGGUCAGUGGAAUUCCUAGUGUCGCGGUGACAUGCGUAGAUAUUUGGAGGAACACCAGUGGCGAAGGCGGCUCACUGGACUGUAACUGACGUUGAGGCUCGAAAGCGUGGGGAGCAAACAGGAUUAGAUACCCCGGUAGUC
rnacentral:rRNA from 1 species